GCGGCGGACGGGUGAGUAACACGUGGGCAACCUACCUGUGAGACGGGGAUAACUCCGGGAAACCGGGGCUAAUACCGGAUAACGCAUCGAACCGCAUGGUUCGGUGAUCAAAGAUGGCUUCUAGCUAUCACUCGCAGAUGGGCCCGCGGCGCAUUAGUUAGUUGGUGGGGUAAUGGCUCACCAAGGCGACGAUGCGUAGCCGACCUGAGAGGGUGAUCGGCCACACUGGGACUGAGACACGGCCCAGACUCCUACGGGAGGCAGCAGUAGGGAAUCAUCCGCAAUGGACGAAAGUCUGACGGUGCAACGCCGCGUGAGCGAUGAAGGUCUUCGGAUCGUAAAGCUCUGUUGUGAGGGAAGAACAAGUGCCGUUCGAAUAGGGCGGCACCUUGACGGUACCUCACCAGAAAGCCCCGGCUAACUACGUGCCAGCAGCCGCGGUAAUACGUAGGGGGCAAGCGUUGUCCGGAAUUAUUGGGCGUAAAGCGCGCGCAGGCGGUUCCUUAAGUCUGAUGUGAAAGGCCACAGCUCAACUGUG
rnacentral:rRNA from 1 species